AACACAACAAUAAAUACAUCAACUUUCUCCACAAACACCCCUGUCGGAGGUCGUCGCCACACAUGGAAAUCGCCGCCGUCGUAGAGCCCUGUAGUUUGUCGCCGAGGCUCCCUCCUCAUCCUCUCCGCCUCGACCCUCCAAAAGCCCUAAUCCUCCAAACCCUAACAAACCCUCACCUUAACCCUCGUGAUCUCCGGCCACUAUCUCCUGUUCUCAGAACUUCCAACGCCAUUGAUAUCCUCCAAUUUAAGGCCGCCACCUCCAGUGAGGCCGUUGCCUGCGAGAGCUCUCAGAUUCUUUCCCCAAAUCCCUAAUCUGAAACUGUCAGCUAUGCAUCUAUAGUCAGGUGAAGAAUUCAUGUGAAGAAAUUAUCUGCUUGCAUCAUCAAUUUAACGUAUUCAUCAAUUCCAGGAUCUAUAGUUCAAUUCGGGGAUCGACUGAUCUACUGAUCAAUUUGAGGUAUCAUUCACUUAUUAAUCUUUUAUUGGUCUGCUUAUAUGUUCAAUUGUUAUGUAAUCUCAUCAUUAAACUCUUUAAUGAUGGGGGUUCAAUACCUUCAUGAGGCCUUUGCAGGGUGAUCUAAUGCACAUGUGAAAGUGAAGACUUAAAAUGCCUUGGUAUGUCGGUAACAUUCAUCUCCAAGUCACUAAAUCUCUUCUUCAAGAGGUCUUCCAAAGUUGUGGUGUCCUAGAAGGAUAUUUAGGGUAAUUAAGGAAGUAGGUGAUGGGACUUUUGGAAAUGUUUGGCGAGCUAUCGAUAAGCAGAACAGUGAAGUUAAAAUGAAGAAGUAAUAUUCCUGGGAAGAGUACGUGAAUCUUCAAGAAGUAAAGUCUCUGCGUAGGAUGAACUGUCCCAAUAUAGUGAAGCUCAAGGAGAUUAUAAGAGAGAAUGAUAUUUUAUUCUGUCUUUGAAUAUAUGGAAUGCAAUCUCUACCAGCUGAUGAAGGAUAGAGAGAAGCUUUUCGCCGAGUCAGAAAUCAGGAACUGGUGCUUUUAAAUAUUUCAGGCUUUGGCUUAUGUGCACCAGCAUGGCUAUUUCCACCUUGACCUUAAGCCUGCCAGAGAAAAUUUGCUAUGUACAAAAGAUGUCAUCAAACUAGCUGAUUUUGGCCUUGCUCACGUAAUUUCUUCAUAGGCAGCGUACACGGAUUAUGUGCAAAGUUCUCAAAGUCAAAUUAAGCUACAUUAAGGGCUAUGGUUUUGGCCCUAGACCACCACCAUUAAGGUUCUCUCGUUAUUCAAUGAGUGAAAUUUCUGAAAAGAAUAAAGAGUUGCAAGAAUAGCUUCAAGAGACCCAACAACUUGUAGGAACUCAACAACAAAAGAUCGAUGAGCAAAAUGAGGUAAUCUAAAUAUUGGAGGAGCAAGCCAAAAAGUUUGAGGAGUUUAUGGCUAAUUUUUCCAG